rnacentral:rRNA from 1 species
UGGGGAAUAUUGGGCAAUGGGCGCAAGCCUGACCCAGCAACGCCGCGUGAAGGAAGAAGGCUUUCGGGUUGUAAACUUCUUUUGUCGGGGACGAAACAAAUGACGGUACCCGACGAAUAAGCCACGGCUAACUACGUGCCAGCAGCCGCGGUAAUACGUAGGUGGCAAGCGUUAUCCGGAUUUACUGGGUGUAAAGGGCGUGUAGGCGGGAUUGCAAGUCAGAUGUGAAAACUGGGGGCUCAACCUCCAGCCUGCAUUUGAAACUGUAGUUCUUGAGUGCUGGAGAGGCAAUCGGAAUUCCGUGUGUAGCGGUGAAAUGCGUAGAUAUACGGAGGAACACCAGUGGCGAAGGCGGAUUGCUGGACAGUAACUGACGAUGAGGCGCGAAAGCGUGGGGAGCAAACAGG